UCCUUCUCUUUUUAUCUUUUUCCUCUUUUUUCUUCGUAAUGGUACUAAAAUAAACAGUGCUUAUAAUGAAAGAUAAAUAAUUUAAAUUUGCGACAUUUUUCAAUAUUUAAACGAGAAAUACUAAACCAAAAGCUAAGCUAAUUGGUACAUAAAACACGCAUUUUUUUAAAACUUGAUCCAACGUCAAUUAAUGGAGUGGUGAUACUCGCGCGUUGAGAUACUCUCUCAAUUUCUGGAAGGGUGCCCUUCAGAAUCACACGUGGCCCAUCUAUGUGCCUCUUUGCAACCAAAACCCACGUGAUCUAACUGCCCUUCACAAUUCACAGAGCACUCACCCAAAGGGGGCAGUAGAGCUGUCACCGGCGUACCAAUGACUGUGCCAGUGCCACACAUGCCAAAUGCUGGCGCAUUGACGGAGUUUGUUUGCCCAUGACCGCUGACCGGACCCAAAUUUUCCAACUUCACAGAAAGGUUCACAAUCCCAUUGGUCCUGGAACCGUCUCUAGCCCGUAGCCGGUAACUCAAGUACCGUGCUGAACCGGCCGGCGGAAACCCAAUAUCUUGAGCAGAGAUUUGGCACCAGCCCAACUGGGUCCGGCCCAUUAUGAGCCGCUUGCUGUAAAGCUGCAGAUAUAUGCAAGAGUACCUGUUUGUGAAGAAACUUGUGUCCACAGGGACAUGAAAUUUGUCACCCCAUGUAGGGUUGAUACCUCCUUCAUCAUCCACCCCUGUGCUGUACACGUGGCACUUGUGAUCACCGUUGGUGGUGGUGAGGGUAAUGAAGGUUCUGAUCUUGUUUGAGAACGUAGUAGGGGAGGUGGUUUUGAGGCCUUGGGCUGAUAUCACUGUGAUCUCCAUCUUCAUCAGUGGCUAGUGAUUGUACUCCUUCAACAUGAUGUUAUUGAACUUGGCUUGGAGUUGAUUGGUCUAAUUAUAUACAUAUAUAUAUAUAUAUGAGUUUGUAUAUAUAUACAUAUAUACAUAUAUAAUAUAUGUGAAAGUGUGUAGCAAUAAUAGGAAAUUAAAUAUGAGAGAGAGAGAGAGAGAGAGAGGGUUCUUGGGAGCUUCAAAGGGGGUUAAUUACAGUGCAGUUUCCUUGUGGAAUAAAAAUGGAGAAUUUUGGAAAUGGAAUUUUGAAAGGGUGGAUGAUGCAGCUUUAUAUGACUCAUACACUCAAAAAAGCAAUGGAAUUUUCCCGCUUGCCAAGUCAACUAGAUAGACGGUUUUUGUGUUUUGAUGUUUUUCCCCUACCCAUAUGCCCGUCAGUCACUAAACAAAGUGUGCCAAUCAUUUUUAAUGUUUCUCUCGAAAGCAAUAGAGCCUAAGCUUCGCCACUUCUUGAUGAUCCGGAUCGUCUGUUUGAAUUUUCCCACUCAUUAUAUGUUUGUCUUUUAUUCUCGAUUACAAAUGAUUGUAAAUAUUUAAAAGUAAUUUAUGAUUUGCGAUAAUUCAUUUUUAUAGGUUGUUUAUUGUUAAUUAUUUUGUUUUUCUAUCAAAAAUAAAAUUAUACUAAUAUUAAUUUCUUGUAUAGAUAGUUGCUCAAACCUUGCAUUUAAUGUGGGGUCCAAAUAGUUGUCAAGUAGCAAAAGCCAGCUUCUUUCCUUGAUUUAUUUUUCCACCAAGUUGUCAUGCAGCAUACUGCGGAUGCACAUGUCGUUUUGUUAUAAAAUUUUCUUUAAUUUGCAAAUUGCAAGUGCCGUCUUUGGUCGUCUGCAUGAAUAUUUUUCCAUGCAAAUUAAUUUGCAGAGCAAUUUCAUGGUAGAAGUCUGGCAAAUGCGUAAACACAUGGGCGUCAAGAGGAAUUGAAGUCAACCCAAUUUUGCUGAUCACAUGCAUACAAAUUCCACUAAGCUUUUCAUAAUAUUAAUAGGUCAUGUUAGUGGUCGGCACAAAUAUACGAAAAACAACAACUAGAUAUUGCCAAAAGCAAACAAGGCAAAAAACAGUUUUGCCACUUUACUUUAUAGAUUGGUCCCAGCCCAGCUGCAGCAAAGCAUGUGUAGCUGAGGUGAGGGUUCACAUUAACAUUAUGUUCUUGGCAGAUUGUGUCGACUUUAGGGACCGAAAGUGAAGCACUUGUUGACUCACCACAAGAUCGGGAUAUUCAUUUACUUCUCAAUUUUCCAAAUUUUUGUUCUUUUUUUGUGUGCGUAUAUAUAUGUAUAAAGAAAAACAAUUAAUUAGGGAAAAUUUAAAUAUAUUGCAGUCGAUCGACAAAUUUAAUACUUGUAUUUGGUUUAUUAAUUUUCCGUUGUCUUUUAUUUUUUUCAUAUUUUAAUAGCUUAUGUUAACAUUGAAUAUUGGGAUCCUUAGAGAAUCUUGCUUGUAAUUAUAUUUGUUGUAAGUCUAGAUUGACUCUCAAUAAUUUCAUAAGGACAUUGCAAUAGACAAAAUUCAUAGAAUAACGAGUCAAUUUGUUACGUAUCAAUGAACCAUGAGGAAAGUUGAGUGGUCACAUGGCAAACAGAAAAUGAAAUAUACAGUGAGAUUAUAUAACAAACUACAUUUAUCUGAAUAGAGAUGAUUGGUUUCGAGUUGUUUUAGUCUCUGUGUGGAGGAGCUUUGUUUUUGGUUGGGUGAUGGGCCUCUUUGGCUUUUAGAUGGUGUUGGGGAGGAUUGGUCUUGAGUGGUUUGAUUUACUUGUAGUAGGUAUUUCACUCUUCUGAUUAGUCAUUAGUAUGAGAAGUACUUUAUACUCUGGGAUUUUAUUCCAUGUAGUUUUUUCCAAGAAGAUUUUAACGAGGCCACCGUUAACAUGCUCAUUUUUAUCAUGUAAUGUUCGGUUUGAGUGGUCACAUUGAUAAACAGAAAACAAAAUUUACAGUGAGAUUAUAUAACACAAACUACAUUUAUCUGGACCCAAAACUCUCUGUUUCAAUCCAUAAAAGUAAAAUUUGAGAACUAGUAGUAGAAAGGGCAAGGACAUCCAACUCAUAAAUUCCAUUCAAUCCAAAACCUGGAGUUAGAGUGCUAAAAUUUAGGAGACAUUUUGUAAUGCUUGUCGAUAAAUUAUAUGCAAUUGGGCUUAUAUCCAAAGUAGUUCGAUGCCUCGACAGAGAAAGCUGCAGAAUCACUAUUCAAGAACAAAGUCCUAUUUCCCCAAGGUCCUUGGCUCUGAAUCCGACCAAUUGCCAUAACUUAAUGGCACCUCAAAAUAUCUAAACCUAGUUUUUGUCGUAAACCUGUUCUCUCGUUUACUCCAUGAACUAGACAAAAUGGAAGAAAUGUAAUUAAAAAAAAAGCUAAAAGCCUCGUUUGUGCGUGUUUAGGGUCUUCAAUGUCACAAACCAAAACAUUCCCUUUCAAGUCCAGGGCAUAAAAUUGUCCCAUUGAAUGUCACAUACCUUUUGACAACGUCGUUGUUGAUGGGGAUCAAAAGUAAGAAAAGCUACCAUGGAAACUUUCUUUUUUGUGGCCCAAAAGGCUAGAAGAACCCUUAGUCGGCCCAUUUCUGUAGGCAUGCAUGCAUGGUCCAUAAAUUUCAAUUGAUAAUUUGGGACCGCGAAUGUGGGUUUGAUGAGUUGUAUGUGUGCUUGCUCGCCCAUUUAUACCCGAGUUCAAUUCUCUUCCAUCUCUAGUGUCGAAUAAACAUAAACCCCGGGGGGGAUUGCCAGGCACACCAUGAACAGUGUUUAUAAGAGGUUUUAGAGACUGUUCCAACAGUAUUUCUUCUAGCCAUCAUCCAACUUGUGUGAGUUUCUUUAGAAUAAUAAUGAAUGUAACGCAUCCAAGUGGCUUAACAUGGCUGUUUACUAAGAUGAAAAAUUGCUCAAAAUCCCUUAACGGGUCUUUUGCAAUUUUAGGCCCAAACAAUUAUCCUUACGGAUAACGAACCUGACAUGAUAGGUCCAUUGUCAAUUCUCAAUCAACCAUGAGCAUAGACGAUGGAUGACUCAAAUUGCCAAGCGAGACCGAAUUACGUGAUUUUUUGUUUUACAAAGCGGCAUUCUAGAUUAUACAAAGAAGGGAUCGAACUCAGAUGCAAAGAACGGACAACACUGAUUGGACACUAGCAAAAUGAAAAUGAACGAAAUCAUGCUAAUCUUGAAAUUAGCUAAAUUAUCACUAACAUACAUUCACCACAUUAGUCAAAUGUGGCGUGUUUCUGUUUGUCCGUCUGCUUUUGAAACAACAAACAACAAUUCAUGGAUAAAAUUUUGAAGGAAUUAAUUUAUACAAGCGGGCUCACAAUUUUGACUGUUCCCGCCCAACUCUUCUGGCGCUUCAUGGAUCAAGGAAAAAUUUCAUCCGCGCCCAAACUACGACGCACGCACGGCGUCGUUUCGCAGUUUCCAGAACACACUAGAAAAUCUGAUCCUUUCUUUCCAUAAACGACGUGACGCUAUCAGUCAUUUGACUCGCACGUGCGCACUUUUCUCCUCGUGCGGUGCUGUCCACUCUUCCAUUAUCCGGAAAAACAAAUCAUAAUCACCAUCGUCAUCCAAUCAAGUCCGUCACUUUCCGAGCUCCAGCCACGUGGAGUCCUGAUCGCGCUUCGAACUCCCAUCUGACGGCUCUGAUUUCAUCGCCUCAGACCCUUCCCGAUGCUGCUCCUCUUCCUCCUCGUCUCUCCGCACGCGCUUCACCCCAAUGGACACCCCAAAUAGCCUCGGCCUCGUCUCCUCCUCCUCGUCUUCCUCUUCCUCCGCCGAAGCCUCCGCCUUAGACCCCUCGCGAACGACACCAUUUUCAGACGGCUCAGCCUCCUGCACCGGCGACAGCUCCAGAGGCUUACCCUCAUCCAUUACACUCCCACCGCCACCGCCGCCGCCCUCCAACUGACCAGAAGCGUAGUUCGUCAUCAAAGCCAAUAUAUUGUUGCACAAGCCGCGCAGCUGAGUCAGCUCGUGACUUAGCUGCAUGUUCUCUUUCCUGAGCCGCUCGUUCUCUUCCAGAACGUCCGACGUGGUGGUGCAGCUCCGGAUUCGGCUCAACAUCGUAGCCGGAGGCGCCACCGGCGACGAGUUCGACGAGAUCACUUGCUCGUCGCCGGAGUUCGACGGAGAUACCCCGGGAGCCACCACAGAUACCGUCGCCAACGUAGCGGUAAUCGCCGCAGGCGACGCCGACACCGACGGCGAGAUUUUCCGGCGCUGAAUCUCCCGUAGGAGGCCUUUCUCACCUCUUUUGAAGCAAUCGUUCGCGAACUCCCACCGAUCCGGCACAACUUUCCGAAAUCCCUGCAAGUACAAUAGAAAUCGAUUAGAAAAUAGAAUAUUUACGUGCUUAAGUUUGUUUGGCUGCCGAGAAAGAGGAGGAAAGUGAGGGAAACAGAGAGGGCUUACGUAAGUGUUGAGCUGGCGGACGAAGCUGGAGAAGUUGUUAUGCUUGAAAUACUUGGGGAGCAAAUCUCUGGCGAAUUCGGCGGGUCGCCAGACUAUGAAGGCCGAUCCGUCUUCGCUCCACGAGAUCAAAUCGUCGACGGACGGAUCGUCCACCAGCUGAUACGUUUUGGUCAAAAACGGCGUCGGAAGCGUCCUUUGUGAGUCUCCACCUCCUCCAGCGCCGUUAACCGGGCCGGAGUCGCCGUUCUGGUCGGCCUGCAACGACGCCAUGGCCUCUAGGCCUUCGGCUUCUCAGAUCCGAGCUCUAAUAGCAACUGAUUUAUCAAAUAAGUAACUGUUGUUCAAUAUAACAAAUAAAUUAAAAUUAUUUAACGUUUCAAUUGGUUGCAGAGAAACCGUGGAGCAAUUAAAAAUAAAUAAAAAUUGAAGAAAGGAAAAUUCUGGAGGAAUUAAUUGAUUUAAUUUCAUGUAUGAAAUGUCUAGCAGCUUCAGAAAAAAAAAUUUUAAUUAAUUAAAUUAAAGGAAACGUAUGUACCUGGAAAGUGAGGCUUUGGGAUGAACAAAGUGUAGGGAUUUUCCCACCAACCAAACGGAAAACUGGAAAAGAAAGUUCGUUUCCUACACGAAAGCUAACUCUAUCUAGAACAGUGCUUGGGCUGUUGCACCAAGGCUUAACCAGAAGAAGCCGCAGCAGCUCCGAGAGAGAGAGAGAGAGGCGGGGAGAACUUCCCUGCUCUUUUUGUUGUUUCUAGAAGGUUCUGGGGUGCGUGGAGUAAAUGAUAGGAGCAAGACGGAAAAAGGGUAUUCGUGGGUUCGAGAAGGAAAGAGAGAAAGUAAUUGUUUUAUUUUUUUAAGGAAAAGGAGAUUGGAAAAGGGCAAAAACUGUGGGGGCCCACGGACAAGAGGGAGUGAUUAAACAACGGAUAGGAAGGCGCGAGAAGUAGGGGCUAAGAGAGAGAAUUAGUAGGUUUUUCUUCUAACGUCUUUUCCAGAAGCUUCUCCCAUUCUUUCAUUUUCUAUUAUUUUAUUAUUAUUUUUUGCCCAAUUUACGUUUUGUUCCCCGUAACUUGUUUAGUUUUUCAGGUUGGUCCCUGUUUUCUUUAUUUUGACAAUUUUCAUCCAUUGCUUUUGGAAGGUUGGCAAUUCUAGUCCAAAUUGACAAACCCAAAAACAAAGGACUUUUUAUUACAAACGAUACCUAAGAUUUACAAAAUUAUCAUAUUUUGUCCUUAUUGUUCUUUUGUAAUACUAAUGGUCCUUAAAGUUAGCUUUUGUACAACAAAAUGAUCCCUGUCGUUAAAUUCUGUUAAUUUUUUUGUUAAAUUGAUGACGUGGCAUAUGUGUGGAGUUCACACAUCCAAUGAUAUAAAGCCACGUAGCUUUAAAUAUAAUAUAAUAUAUUUUUAAAUAUUUUUAAAACUUAAAAUUCAUUUCACAAAAAUUAAAAGCAACUUAAAUUAUUUAUUUAUUUAUUUUUUUAAGUUUUAACAUAGAACUAAAAUAUCAAUUAACAUAAAUUUCCUAACUUAUCCUCAAUUCAAUUCCUUCUCAAUUAAUUCAUCCUCAUUCUCACUCGAUUACGAAUAAGUAAACAUGCCAUAAAUUCAACGUAUUAAUUAGCGUUAAAAAAAUCCUUCCAUUCUAUGGAGGCAAAACACUCUUUGGUUGUCGGCUGUUUUCUACCUAGUACUGCUCCUGGAGCUUUAAUGAAGUUAGGUUUGUGGAUGCCUUUGGAGGUAGGGAAUAUUAAUUUGUGAACCUAUUACAGUUUGAAAGGUUGAACUUUGUAUGUACAGUUAUAUAACACAUAGAACCAGUCAAGACAGAGGCAUGUAAAGUUGUUAUUGGACUUUGAUGAAUUGACAUGUAUUCAAAUAAGACUAAAACACCUUGUGACAGGUACAUUAUGAAGAUUGCAAUGGAAAAAUUUGUGAGGAAGGGGACCCAAAAUUAUUUUUUAUGGGUGUCUUUGUGCGACUUUUUGAAGUACAAAUAAUUCUAAGAGCAUUCACACAACACAAUCAAAGUAAUAUUAGAGAGGGGGAAUUCGAACAUAUGACCACAAAUGUAGGGCUAACUACUCUUGACCACUUGAGAUUGUGCAGAUUUAAAGGAGCUGGCUUUUGAGGGCAACUCUCACACGUGAUCUUCCUCUAUGUCUAUUUGUUUGCAGAAUCUCAAUCCUCAGCACGAUGAAUGUUGCAAAGAGUUUCAUAGUAACUAAACAACACAGAAAACAACAAAAGAGCUGAAACAAAUAAUCAAAAUGAAAAAAAAACAAUAAGUUCUAGAAGCUCCAUCUUGAUCCACAUCACCAGCCUUAUCUUCAACUGAUCCUCAUCUCCCAAGAUCAGCAGAAAGAUUUUGACUAGAAAUUACUUCAAUUUAAAGCAUUUCUUAGGGCUUCAGCAUGACCCAUGAGAGCAGCAUAACUAAUGCCUUCAAUAGAAUCCCCUAUAUCGUUAUUAUUGUGUUACUAAUUCACAUGUUAUGUUAUAUGUGAAUGCUACAUAUAUAAAAUCAUGAGUGGAAAUGAGUGGACGCGGUAUGACAUUCGAAAAUCUUCCCCCAUUUCACAUCCAACUUCCACUUAAUUUAAGUAGGACCAGUCCGAUGCUGCCACUGAAAUGCACAACAUAUUAGAGGUAUCGUCUCUUUUUUAUAUGGAAUUAUUCUGUACAAAUAUUCAUCUUAUUUAUUUAUUUAUUUAAAUGUUUUCCCUCUUUCAUUGAAAAUUAUUGCAGGUUGCCCGGUAAACUUCCUGUUGAAACUUUAUUAAUUCGUGGGUUCUUCUAGUAGCCCUUAGCCAGCUCUCUCUCUCUCUCUCUCUCUCUCUCUCUCUAGAUCAAAACGUUUUUAACAUUGCCCCCAUUGCUUAGCUGCUUAAAACUACAAACCCGCACGUCUCUGUGCUAAGAAAAUUAUCACAUCCUGAAACUGGUCAAAUUCCUCAGACAGUUUGGAUACAUUUAUUCUAAGAAAAUUCCAGACAUCCUAAUUCCAAGACCCAAGUAAACAUUUAUAGAAGCAAACGCAAGUUUAUGCUUCAAUUUGUUACCACACAACAUGCAUGGCAUAAUUCUUUUUCGAUAUUUAUAUAUACUUGCCAGAAAAGGAAUUUAUUCCCAUGAUGUGGCCCAAUUACAUUUCUUUUAAAUGGAAAAGAUAAAUAAAGGAAAAACACUAUAGUAGAUGAACAUAUCUAGCAGGACAUCAAAUAAUACAGUUUUAUUUCUCAAGGCAGUGGGAGGUAAGUCACUUAGACAAACUUCCGUGCGCUAAUGUACAAUUCCAUUCAAUACUUGGACUGGUAACCUCGUGGAUUGUUUACCGCCCACUUCCAUUGGUCCCUGCACAUAUCGUCUAUUCCGUAUUUUGCCCUGAAACCGAAGAUAUAAAAUUAGCGAAGAAGAAAAACUAUGCGGCGCCAGUCAUCAUCUUGAAGGAUCAAAAAGAAUGUUUUGCAUUUGCAUAAAAGAAGAGAUGAAAUCUACUUACUUCCACCCGAGUUCCCUUUCAGCUUUCUCUGUUGAAGCAUAAACAGCAGUAGCAUCUCCCGGCCUCCUUGGGCAUAGUUUGAUGGGGAUUUUCUGGGAUAUACACAAUUAAGACAAAGUUCCAUAAUGAAAAAUUGAUUGAGAAAAAGAAAGA
rnacentral:lncRNA from 1 species